rnacentral:rRNA from 1 species
GACAGAGGGUGCAAACGUUGCUCGGAAUUACUGGGCGUAAAGCGCGUGUAGGUGGAUUGGUGUGUCAGAUGUGAAAGCCCUGGGCUCAACCCAGGAACAGCACCUGAAACUACCAGUCUUGAGUGGUGGAGAGGGAAGUGGAAUUCCUGGUGUAGAGGUGAAAUUCGUAGAUAUCAGGAGGAACACCGAUGGCGAAGGCAGGUCUCUGGGCAGUUACUGACGCUGAGGAGCGAAAGCAUGGGGAGCGAACAGG